rnacentral:rRNA from 1 species
GACGAACGCUGGCGGCGUGCUUAACGCAUGCAAGUCGAACGGAAAGGCCCUGCUUUUGUGGGGUGCUCGAGUGGCGAACGGGUGAGUAACACGUGAGUAACCUGCCCUUGACUUUGGGAUAACUUCAGGAAACUGGGGCUAAUACCGGAUAGGAGCUCCUGCUGCAUGGUGGGGGUUGGAAAGCUUCGGCGGUUGGGGAUGGACUCGCGGCUUAUCAGCUUGUUGGUGGGGUAGUGGCUUACCAAGGCUUUGACGGGUAGCCGGCCUGAGAGGGUGACCGGCCACAUUGGGACUGAGAUACGGCCCAGACUCCUACGGGAGGCAGCAGUGGGGAAUAUUGCACAAUGGGCGGAAGCCUGAUGCAGCAACGCCGCGUGCGGGAUGACGGCCUUCGGGUUGUAAACCGCUUUCGCCUGUGACGAAGCGUGAGUGACGGUAAUGGGUAAAGAAGCACCGGCUAACUACGUGCCAGCAGCCGCGGUGAUACGUAGGGUGCGAGCGUUGUCCGGAUUUAUUGGGCGUAAAGGGCUCGUAGGUGGUUGAUCGCGUCGGAAGUGUAAUCUUGGGGCUUAACCCUGAGCGUGCUUUCGAUACGGGUUGACUUGAGGAAGGUAGGGGAGAAUGGAAUUCCUGGUGGAGCGGUGGAAUGCGCAGAUAUCAGGAGGAACACCAGUGGCGAAGGCGGUUCUCUGGGCCUUUCCUGACGCUGAGGAGCGAAAGCGUGGGGAGCGAACAGGCUUAGAUACCCUGGUAGUCCACGCUGUAAACGGUGGGUACUAGGUGUGGGGUCCAUUCCACGGGUUCCGUGCCGUAGCUAACGCUUUAAGUACCCCGCCUGGGGAGUACGGCCGCAAGGCUAAAACUCAAAGGAAUUGACGGGGCCCCGCACAAGCGGCGGAGCAUGCGGAUUAAUUCGAUGCAACGCGUAGAACCUUACCUGGGUUUGACAUGGAUCGGGAGUGCUCAGAGAUGGGUGUGCCUCUUUUGGGGUCGGUUCACAGGUGGUGCAUGGCUGUCGUCAGCUCGUGUCGUGAGAUGUUGGGUUAAGUCCCGCAACGAGCGCAACCCUUGUUCACUGUUGCCAGCACGUUAUGGUGGGGACUCAGUGGAGACCGCCGGGGUCAACUCGGAGGAAGGUGGGGAUGACGUCAAGUCAUCAUGCCCCUUAUGUCCAGGGCUUCACGCAUGCUACAAUGGCUGGUACAGAGAGUGGCGAGCCUGUGAGGGUGAGCGAAUCUCGGAAAGCCGGUCUCAGUUCGGAUUGGGGUCUGCAACUCGACCUCAUGAAGUCGGAGUCGCUAGUAAUCGCAGAUCAGCAACGCUGCGGUGAAUACGUUCCCGGG